rnacentral:rRNA from 1 species
GAUGAACGCUAGCGGCAGGCCUAACACAUGCAAGUCGAGGGAGAAGCCCUUCGGGGCAGAAACCGGCGCACGGGUGCGUAACGCGUAUGCAACCUACCUUUCACAGGGGGAUAGCCCGAAGAAAUUUGGAUUAAUACCCCAUAAUAUUGUUGGAUGGCAUCAUCUGGCAAUUAAAACUGAGGUGGUGAGAGAUGGGCAUGCGUCCUAUUAGCUAGUUGGAGUGGUAACGGCACCCCAAGGCUACGAUAGGUAGGGGUCCUGAGAGGGAGAUCCCCCACACUGGUACUGAGACAGGGACCAGACUCCUACGGGAGGCAGCAGUGAGGAAUAUUGGUCAAUGGUCGGAAGACUGAACCAGCCAUGCCGCGUGCAGGAAGAAUGCCUUAUGGGUUGUAAACUGCUUUUAUAUGGGAAGAAUAAGGAGUACGAGUACUUUGAUGACGUACCAUAUGAUAAGCUUGG